GUGCCAGCCGCGCGGUCAUACUGGCAGCCCGAGUGCUGACCGAUCUUAUUGGGCCUAAAGCGUCCGUAGCUGGCUACGCCAGUCCGUCGGGAAAUCCACUCGCCCAACGAGUGGGCGUCCGACGGAAACUGCAUAGCUUGGGACCGGAAGGCUCGAAGGGUACGUGCGGGGUAGGAGUGAAAUCCCAUAAUCCCGCACGGACCACCGAUGGCGAAAGCACUUCGAGAAAACGGAUCCGACAGUGAGGGACGAAAGCCAGGGUCUCCAACCGGAUUAGAAACCCUAGUAGUCC
rnacentral:rRNA from 1 species